CCUACGGGAGGCAGCAGUAGGGAAUCUUCCACAAUGGGCGAAAGCCUGAUGGAGCAACGCCGCGUGGGUGAAGAAGGCCUUCGGAUCGUAAAACUCUGUUGUUAGAGAAGAAAGUGUGUGAGAGUAACUGCUCACGUUUCGACGGUAUCUAACCAGAAAGCCCCGGCUAACUACGUGCCAGCAGCCGCGGUAAUACGUAGGUGGCAAGCGUUAACCGGAGUUAUUGGGCGUAAAGGGCACGCAGGCGGUCUAUUAAGUCUGAUGUGAAAGCCUUCGGCUUAACCGGAGUAGUGCAUUGGAGACUGGGAGACUAGAGUGCAUAAGGGGGGAGUAGAACUCCAUGUGUAGCGGUGAAAUGCGUAGAUAUGUGGAGGAACACCAGUGGCGAAGGCGGCUCUCUGGGCUGUAACUGACGCUGAGGUGCGAAAGCGUGGGUAGCAAACAGGAUUAGAUACCCGGGUAGUC
rnacentral:rRNA from 1 species